GUAAUUGAAAACGAUCGUAGCAAUGCAGAGGAAGUAACGAAUGAACUCCUUGCACAAGCGCGAAGAGUUGCAACUGCGCUAGAUAUAGAACUAUCUUUACCGCGUUUAGGUGUAUAACAAAAACAUAGAAACAAUCCUCCAUCAAACAACGAAGAUGAGUACUGGCGACGCUGUAUUGUGAUUCCAUAUCUUGACCCCUUAACAGCUUCGUUUAAAAUAAGAUUUGCCCGUGAAAAAACUCCAGCAUAUGCGCUAUCUCGGUUGCAUCCAUUGUAUAUGCUCAAAAGUUCAAUUGAAGCCAUUUUUGAAAACUCGAAACUAUUCGAAAAGCAUUAUGAUUUAGAUGUCAGCAAUGAAUUGAAACUUUGGUACAAUUUAUGGAAAAAUAAAAAUUUAUCAGAAAUGGAAUUAAGAGAAAUUGAAGUUGUUGAAUUGAUCAAACAGGCAGAUGAAUUUUACCCUUCAAUUCGAAAAGCUCUCAAAAUAUUAUGUACAUUACCAUGCACUACAGCAACGGUGGAGCGUUCAUUUAGUACGCUAAGGAGAGUUAAAACUUGGCUUCGGGGCACGAUGGGAGAAGAGAGACUAUCUGGAUUAUGUCUGAUGAGCGUGCAUCGCACAUUUGUGAAAGAACAUCAACAGGUCAUUGAGGAAAAAAUCAUCAAUAAAUUUUCAGAAAAUCCUAGACGUUUACUACUUGCAUAAAAAUUUAUCCUGGCUACGUCCUUGAGUACUCUCCGUAGCAACUUUGUCCGAAGUUAACGUUUUUUCUUGUUUAAAAUAAACUUUUGCCAGUACCUGAGCGAAUUUUUCGAACUUUGAUUAUUGCAAAUAGCAAGAGGAUAAAUUAUUCGGUUACACCCUUGACAUGACUUUUUUAAUUACUAUUGUAUGGCAUCCAAUAUAAACGGUUAAAAACUAUCCAUUCUGCAAAUUUUCCAUUAAAUAGACAUAUACAGUCGUAUUUGUCAAUAGAUGUCGUUGCAGUCGUGUAUCUCUAGUGCUACCAAUCACUUUGUGUCCUACCAUAUAGUGUUUGAAAGUUUUAGGACUUACAAACAACCGUUAUGUGAACAAAACUAUAAUACUCUCCUUAGCAACUUUGUUGCGAGAGUAUAAAAAUGGAAUAAUGCCACGCAAGCCACCAAUGAAAUUCGUGUAGUUUACGGAGACGAUGCUGUAUCAGGUCAUCUAGCACAACAAUGUUUCGCUCGUUUCUGUUCUGGAAAUAAGAAAUGCCAUAUCAACAACAAAGGACGUUAUAAACUUUUUUCGCGAAUCAACCACGCGAAGGAACUGUGCGCCUACUAUAUCACGUUUGUGUGAAACCAGAUGGUCGGAAAAAUAUAAGGCAGUAAGAAAGUUUUCUGAAAAUUUUCCUGAAAUUGUUGAAGGACUGAAAAAAUUAUCCAUAGAUGGAAACCAUAGCACAAGAAAGAGUGCAUACCAGCUUCAUUCAGCAGUGACAAAAUCGGUUUUAAUCGUUUCCCUAAUGACAAUUGCAAAAUACUCUGCAUUACUGGAACCAACAGUAAAUAUUUUGCAAACGAAAGCAAUCGUUAUGAUUGCAGUAGGUGAGCAUAUUGAAAAAAUUAUUGAGGUAAUUGAAAACGAUCGUAGCAAUGCAGAGCAAGUAACGAAUGAACUCCUUGCACAAGCGCGAAGAGUUGCAACUGUGCUAGAUAUAGAAUUAUCUUUACUGCGUUUAGCUGUAAAACAAAAACAUAGAAGCAAUCCUCCAUCAAACAACGAAGAUGAGUACUGGCGACGCUGUAUUGUGAUUCCAUAUCUUGACUCCUUAACAGCUUCGUUUAUAUGCUCAAAAGUUCAAUUGAAGCCGUUUUUGAAAACUCGAAACAAUUCGAAAAGCAUUACGAUUUAGAUGUCAGCAAUGAAUUGAAACUUUGGUACAAUUUAUGGAAAAAUAAAAAUUUAUCAGAAAUGGAGUUAAGAGAAAUUGAAGUUGUUGAAUUGAUCAAACAGGCAGAUGAAUUUUACCCUUCAAUUCGAAAAGCUCUCAAAAUAUUAUGUACAUUAUCAUGCACUACAGUAACGGUGGAGCGUUCAUUUAGUACGCUAAGGAGAGUUAAAACUUGGCUUCGGAGCACGAUGGGAGAAGAGAGACUAUCUGGAUUAUGUCUGAUGAGCGUGCAUUGCACAUUAGUGAAAGAACAUCAACAGCUCAUUGAAGAAAAAGUCAUCAAUAAAUUUUCAGAAAAUCCUAGACGUCUACUACUUGCAUAAAAGUUUAUCCUAGCUACGUCCUUGCCCAUAAUGGACGCGGAUUUGAAGGCUGAUACGUCGAAAUGUUUAUCGCGAAAAAUGUGCGAACUUAAUUUUCAUUCCAGUGUUCAGCAAUUGUAAUUGCUAGCU